CUUUGGUGGCGGUGCUGUACGGCCUCAUCACAUCAGGUGAUCUGAUGUAUCGCGAGAGCCUUCACUGCAUCCUCACCUCCUUCCACAUCCUCUCAGGACAAGGUGACGUCCUCAACAUCGACCCUUUGAAAUUCUACAACCACUUAUACAAAACGCUGCUGACGCUGCACGCAGGUGAGAUCUUCUCCAGUGUCUCUUUGUUCUGCACAUGCAGUGACACUGGGUUAUUUAAUAUGAGUGAGAACAUCAGUCACUUACACACCGUGGUGUCCCGGACAUUUAUUUUUAAGAAUUAAAUGCACAACUGCGAGACCCUCAAAAAAAAGUUUAAACUAAAAUGGUUUAAAACAC